AUACUUACCUAGCAAGGGAGAUAUCAUGAUCAUGAAGGUGAUUUUCUCAGGGCGAGGCUCACCCAUUGCCCUCGGGAUGUGCUGACCCCUGCAAUUUCCCCAAAUGUGGGAAACUCAACUGCAUAAUUUGCUGUAAUGGGGGACUGCGUUUGCGCUCUCCCCUG